GCAGUCGAGCGGUAGCACAGAGAGCUUGCUCUCGGGUGACGAGCGGCGGACGGGUGAGUAAUGUCUGGGAAACUGCCUGAUGGAGGGGGAUAACUACUGGAAACGGUAGCUAAUACCGCAUAACGUCGCAAGACCAAAGUGGGGGACCUUCGGGCCUCAUGCCAUCAGAUGUGCCCAGAUGGGAUUAGCUAGUAGGUGGGGUAACGGCUCACCUAGGCGACGAUCCCUAGCUGGUCUGAGAGGAUGACCAGCCACACUGGAACUGAGACACGGUCCAGACUCCUACGGGAGGCAGCAGUGGGGAAUAUUGCACAAUGGGCGCAAGCCUGAUGCAGCCAUGCCGCGUGUGUGAAGAAGGCCUUCGGGUUGUAAAGCACUUUCAGCGGGGAGGAAGGCGAUAAGGUUAAUAACCUUGUCGAUUGACGUUACCCGCAGAAGAAGCACCGGCUAACUCCGUGCCAGCAGCCGCGGUAAUACGGAGGGUGCAAGCGUUAAUCGGAAUUACUGGGCGUAAAGCGCACGCAGGCGGUCUGUCAAGUCGGAUGUGAAAUCCCCGGGCUCAACCUGGGAACUGCAUUCGAAACUGGCAGGCUAGAGUCUUGUAGAGGGGGGUAGAAUUCCAGGUGUAGCGGUGAAAUGCGUAGAGAUCUGGAGGAAUACCGGUGGCGAAGGCGGCCCCCUGGACAAAGACUGACGCUCAGGUGCGAAAGCGUGGGGAGCAAACAGGAUUAGAUACCCUGGUAGUCCACGCCGUAAACGAUGUCGAUUUGGAGGUUGUGCCCUUGAGGCGUGGCUUCCGGAGCUAACGCGUUAAAUCGACCGCCUGGGGAGUACGGCCGCAAGGUUAAAACUCAAAUGAAUUGACGGGGGCCCGCACAAGCGGUGGAGCAUGUGGUUUAAUUCGAUGCAACGCGAAGAACCUUACCUGGUCUUGACAUCCACAGAACUUUCCAGAGAUGGAUUGGUGCCUUCGGGAACUGUGAGACAGGUGCUGCAUGGCUGUCGUCAGCUCGUGUUGUGAAAUGUUGGGUUAAGUCCCGCAACGAGCGCAACCCUUAUCCUUUGUUGCCAGCGGUUAGGCCGGGAACUCAAAGGAGACUGCCAGUGAUAAACUGGAGGAAGGUGGGGAUGACGUCAAGUCAUCAUGGCCCUUACGACCAGGGCUACACACGUGCUACAAUGGCAUAUACAAAGAGAAGCGACCUCGCGAGAGCAAGCGGACCUCAUAAAGUAUGUCGUAGUCCGGAUUGGAGUCUGCAACUCGACUCCAUGAAGUCGGAAUCGCUAGUAAUCGUAGAUCAGAAUGCUACGGUGAAUACGUUCCCGGGCCUUGUACACACCGCCCGUCACACCAUGGGAGUGGGUUGCAAAAGAAGUAGGUAGCUUAACCUUCGGGAGGGC
rnacentral:rRNA from 1 species